AUGCCAAGCUUAUAAUUGACAGUAGCUGAUGAAUGUUGACCAAGUGAGACAACAUCAUGUCUGCUUGACAGAUAAGGACUGAACCAGUUUAAUACUGUGACACAGAAGGCAACAAGUCUCUGCAGUAGAUGUAGACGUUUACUGUAACUUACUCUACUAAUGACAGCAAUUAAAUACUAAAUAUAUAUUUAAUAUUUUCUUAUAAUCCAUAUUUAAUCUCAGGUCUUUUACAACAUUAAUCAUGUUUGGUCUGUAUUGUCUUUAUUUACCUAAUGCUGUUUUCAUGCUGCCCUCUUGGCCAGAUCUCUCUUGAAAAACAAUUUAUCACAAUAAGACGUUUACAUGAUUUUGUAAAUGUUAAAGGAAAGCUUACUUAAAAAGCUGAAUUUGUAAAUACUACACAGCAUCCUGAGUUUCUGUUAAUCAACAUGAGGAUGAUUCAAACAGCCAGCUGUCCCAGCACUGAGGAGGAAACACCAUGAUAUGUUGAGGACAGCUACAGUUCACUGACUCUGUGUGUUUGCAUAUCUGUCCUGCCUCUCUGCUCCCAGCCGUUAAGAGGCCAGUGUUGAUCAGUGGCUGUCCAGGCCUUUCAGAGCCACUGACACGCCGGCAGCACAAUGAUGAUGUCACUUAAUCUACUGCUGGCCACCCUGGGGCUCCUUGUUCAGGGUUCAUCAGGACAAAUCGUCGUGACUCAGUCUCCUGGAUCUCAGUCUGUUGUUCCAGGACAGACUGUCUCUCUCAGAUGUAAAACCAGUACAAGUGUUUAUAGUGAUGGUGUCAGCUACCUCCACUGGUACCUUCAGAAACCUGGAGAAGCUCCUAAACUCCUGAUUUAUCGAGCUACAGCCCGUCCGUCUGGAGUUCCAGGUCGUUUUAGUGGAAGUGGAAAUGGACCGAGUGACUUCACUCUGACCAUCAGUGGAGUUCAGGCUGAAGAUUCAGGAGUUUACUACUGUCAGCAGGGUUACAGCAGCCCGUUCACACAGUGAUACAACGUCGUACAAAAACCUCCCUCAGCUGGAGAGGAACUGAUCUGACUCAACAGCUGCACUGAAACUAAAACAUUAGAAGCUUUUCUGAAAGAAAACUCAUGAUUGUGUUAAAAAGUUAUAUUUUUAUUGUGGAAAUAUUUUUCAUAGAAUUCAGCAGAGUAUUUUAUUAUUACUGACUAACAGUGUUUGAGACAUUAUCACACUGUUACAGUUUACUCAAACACGGUUUUACAGCAAAGUUUCAAUCAGGAAAAAAAUGUUUCAACAAGGAAUUGUAACACAAAACUCUGAAUCAUUUGUUCUGGAGAAAAUGUUUGAUCUUUGACUGAUUUGUUGAGGCGACCUCUUUUUUCAAACUCACUGAGAAUACUGAAUUAGUCAAGAAGGAACCAGAAUUUAACACAAGUAAGCAGAGAAUUCAAACUGAAGGAUAAAUAGGUUAAUUAGCUAUUUAACACAUUCAAGAAAUGCAUACAAACAACAAAACAACACUUUAAAACAGUAAUGUUCUCUUUAGACCCAAAACAUUUUACACUAUUGAUGAAGCAGAGAUAUACACUCAGUGUCCACUUUAUUAGGUACACCUGUAAAGCCUAAUGCAAUCCAAUAGAAGCUUUCUGUCAUAGUCUACUUCAGUUUCAAGUUAUUUAUUGUCAAAUACACAACAAUUACAGUGAAGCAGUCAUUGGCAAUUGUCUUUUUUAAUUAAUAUUUUUAGUUCUCAGACUCCCUCCAAGAAUGAUUAACGAAAAUCAUGCAAGUAAAAAAGAAUCGAAAACAUAAAAUUGUGCAUAAGUAAAAAUAUACGAAUAUAAUAUGUUAUAUAUAUUAUAUAUAAUAUAAUACGAUUAAAUAAAAUAUAAUACUGUGGUAGGCAGGUGUACAGUAAUGAUAAAAUGAAUGAACUGUAAUGUAUGGGUAGAUAAAAACAAGAUUUUAGACAGGCAGUGCAUUAUAUAUAUAUAUAUAUAUACAUAUACAUAUAUAUAUAUACUGUGACGGUUGCACAGGUAGUAUAAAUAAAUAUACAUAUAUACAGGACAAAGCUGAAUGAAAGAGUGGAGAAACAUCUCAAAGCAGAUGCUUCGGUGCUCCAGGGCUCACUGAUCUGUUUGGCAAAGUCCACACCUGUGGAAGGUUUUUGACCAACGUGUAAGACAACGCUCUCCACCACCAUCUCCAUAAGACCAAAUGAUAUAAUAUAAACUUUCAUCUUCAGAUCUGUGUAGUGACGUCUGUGACUGUCUCUGAUGCUGUAUGUCCUUUAGUUUGUGUUUCCCUCUACCUGCUGUACUCAGGUCUGUCUGAUCUCAGUCAGAUGACCUGAUUAAUAAAGGUUGUAUAUAUAACUGAGGGAACAUCUUGUGGAGAAGGUGUUCAUCCCUCCAGUAGAGCUCCACAGACUGUACACAGCCCUGAAGCUGGUCUGGAGGCUCGUGGUGGCCUGACUCCAUACUAACACACUUUAUGCUGCCUUUUCCUGUCAGUUGUCACUCAUCGUUAUAUAUACUAUAUUUACUGUGUGUGUGUGUGUGUAUAUAUAUAUAUAUAUAUAUAUAUAUAUAAUAUGUAUGUAUGUAUGUAUGUAUGUAUGUGUGUAUGUAAUAUGUAAAUCAGUAAAAAUUAAAUUCUUUCCUUUUGUCAUCUCUUUUAUUUUUUCUUUGCGGUUGAACUCUUCAGCAGAAGCAGUGUGCAAAUAUUUCCAGGGUUAAAUAUGAAGAUCACACUCUUUUUGUGUUUUUCUAUGCUGAUGAUAUACUGCUUUAUAUUUCAGAUGUUUAAAAUAUUUCUCAUACUUACUUUUUUUAAGGAUAAUUCCUAUUCUUUGGAUACACCCAAAACAAUUACAAUAUUAUAGUCCUUACCAUUAAAACAAUUCAUUAUUAAGAGAUGAUUCGAUGAGUGUUCAUUAAAGUGUUCCCACCACAGGAUUUUGUUCCAAAGGUUUAUUAUUACAGACAAAUCUGUAAUGACUAUAGCAGAAAAUAGUUUCAGUCAUGAAGACAUUCAUAUCGAUUAUGAUAAAAAAAAUUGGCCUUAUACUACAACCAUCACUGGUUUGGACUAAUCAAAUAAUAGUGAUGGCAUCACCUAGGAGACACCAAUCAGCUUAGAGGACAGGGAACACACAGCUGUCAAUCAAACACAAGCAACUUGGACACCUUUACUGUGUGAGAGUGGAUUGUCUCCUUUAAGGAGUUUCUGUCAGAUGGUUUUUCUGCUCCACCAGUCACUCACUCACACAUUGUUUCACUUCCCUUUAAGAAACCUCUCAUGCAUAUCAGCACAGAAAGAGUCCUCAUAUGACCUGAAAGACAUCAAACUACACUGGAAAUAAAAGAACCAUAUUUCAAACUUUAAAAUACAAAAACACCUUUUUUUUAUAUUAUUUGAAGAAAACAUCGAAAUCCAGUUUGAAUAUAUUUUCAGUCAUCUAUGAUUUCAUUCAAAGUCCUGCUACAUUUAUACAAACAUAUUUACUGUCAAAGCUGUCAAAAGGGCAAAAGUUAAUCAGAUCCACUGUUAAAGGACAUUAUCAGCCAUAAAUAACUGACGACCAGGUAAACUGUUCAUCAGACAGAUUUAAAAAUACAAAUAGCAUCAGAGAAUUGUCGACAUUAUUUCAAACUGAGGU